AUUGACAAAUCAAGCACAAAGCGUAAUUCACACAUAGGAACCUAUCUCAUGAAAAGUGCUACGAGAUCAUUCAUUAUCGAUUAUUUCUUAUCGAGUAUUAAGACUCAGAAUUCGAUACGAUUUUAACUAUAUGGUAGCGAUUUUUAUCUUGGGAUGCUUUUAAAUAUUUUCCAUUAAAAAAAAAAAUGCAUCCAUGCAAAAUAAAAAAUGGUUGAAUAUUUUUAUACAAAUUAUUAAAGUAUUUAUGUAUGGUAUUCUUUACUGUACUAUUUUUUGUAGUGGUUUAAUUAUUAAAUUUAUGUUUAUUUUUGCUAUAUCACAACUUAAAGAAGAAAAGUCUAUACAGUUUUGUGAUUAUUAUUCAAAAUAUAAUCAAAAAUUAGAAGCAAAAAUUUCCAAGAGGGGCAAAGUAAUUUGGACUUGGCAUAUUAUUUUUAUGUUCCUUAUACCAGAAUUUUUUACUAUAUUUCAUGCGAUAUGGAAUUUCUUUUUCAAAAAGAAGUAAAAUUACCUAAGAACAAAAUAUUCUAAUUCUUUUUUUUCUGGAACACUUCAUUCAAUUGGUAUAGCAUUAUUAAUUUUUUAUAGUCUUCCAAAACUUAAUUCUAUAGAUGUUGCUGGAAUUUCUAGUUGUAUUUGUUUUAUUCCUACUU